UACGUAGGGUGCGAGCGUUGUCCGGAAUUACUGGGCGUAAAGAGCUCGUAGGUGGUUUGUCGCGUUGUCCGUGAAAACUCACAACUCAAUUGUGGGCGUGCGGGCGAUACGGGCAGACUGGAGUACUGCAGGGGAGACUGGAAUUCCUGGUGUAGCGGUGGAAUGCGCAGAUAUCAGGAGGAACACCGGUGGCGAAGGCGGUCUGCUGGGCAGUUGCUGACACUGAGGCGCGACAGCGUGGGGAGCAAACAGG
rnacentral:rRNA from 1 species